rnacentral:rRNA from 1 species
UGAAACCGUUCGGGGGUAAACGGACAGAGCCCGUGAAUCCGGGCGUUCGGAAUUCAGGACCGACGGCGGGCCGGUCUCGGCCGGCUUCGUCGUCGAUUCGAUAUUUCCGUCGCCGACCCUCAACCGAGGGUGUCGGACGUCGCGACCCGUUCGCCACGAUCGAUGCUCAGGGGCGCGCCUCAAGUUCGUAUGCGCGGCCGUCUCGGCGGUCGCGCGACGAUGGCGCGUUUCCACUGUCUUCGACGCGGACGGUAGCUUUGCGCGCGGGUAAUCGAGGCGGUCCUUCGUCCGGCGUCUCGUACGUCGGACGGCGCUCGCCUCGACGCCGGUCAGCGACGAAUCUUCGGGCCU